AUUGAACGCUGGCGGCAUGCCUUACACAUGCAAGUCGAACGGCAGCGCGGGAGCAAUCCUGGCGGCGAGUGGCGAACGGGUGAGUAACAUAUCGGAACGUAUCCAAUAAUGGGGGAUAACGAGUCGAAAGAUUCGCUAAUACCGCAUACGCCCUACGGGGGAAAGCUGGGGACCUUCGGGCCUGGCGUUAAUGGAGCGGCCGAUAUCUUAUUAGCUAGUUGGUGAGGUAAAGGCUCACCAAGGCGACGAUCAGUAGCUGGUCUGAGAGGACGACCAGCCACACUGGAACUGAGACACGGUCCAGCCUCCUACGGGAGGCAGCAGGGGGGAAUUUUGGACAAUGGGCGCAAGCCUGAUCCAGCCAUUCCGCGUGAGUGAAGAAGGCCUUCGGGUUGAAAAGCUCUUUCGCAAGGGAAGAAAACUUAGCCACUAACAUUGGUUGAGGUUGACGGUACCUUGAUAAGAAGCACCGGCUAACUACGUGCCAGCCGCCGCCGUAA
rnacentral:rRNA from 1 species